UUACGGGAGGCAGCAGCGAGGAAUAUUGCGCAAUGGGCGAAAGCCUGACGCAGUAACGCCGCGUGCGGGAAGAAGGCCUUCGGGUCGUAAACCGCUUUUCGGAGGGACGAGGAAGGACGGUACCUCUGGAAUAAGUCUCGGCUAACUACGUGCCAGCAGCCGCGGUAAGACGUAGGAGGCGAGCGUUAUCCGGAUUCACUGGGCGUAAAGCGCGUGUAGGCGGUUCGGCAAGUCGGUUGUGAAAGCCCCUGGCUCAACUGGGGGAGGUCAGCCGAAACUGCGGGACUGGAGGGUCAGAGAGGAAGGUGGAAUUCCCGGUGUAGCGGUGGAAUGCGUAGAGAUCGGGAGGAACACCAGUGGCGAAAGCGGCCUUCUGGCUGACCACUGACGCUGAGACGCGAAAGCGUGGGUAGCAAACGGGAUUAGAUACCCUGGUAGU
rnacentral:rRNA from 1 species